AUCUAGUAUAAAAUUUAAAAUCUAAUAAUUAGUUUUAACAUUUCCUUAAGCUUUCUUUAAAAUAUUUAGAUUUAAUAUUAAUCUAGAUCUAACAAUCAAAUAAUAUUUUUUAACUUAGAGCCAGAAUCUAGAGAUCUUGAUCAGAUUGUUCUUGACAUUAAAUUUGAAAAUAAUCUUAAUAUCGUUUCCAAUCCAAAAUUAUGUACCACAUAUCAAGUAUGGCGGCGCCCACCAGAACCACAGUUUUAACAUUGUAUAAACAAAUUUUAAGAGAAGGGAAAAAAGUAACAGACUACAACUUUAGGAUGUAUGCACUAAGACGCACAAGAGAUGCUUUCAAGGAGAACAAAAAUGUAACUGAUCUUGAACAAA